AUUCACAGUCAAGUCAUGUGGAACUACACAACUUCCUUUUUGUGCAUUGGAGCUGGAAAUCUCGUUGAGUUUGGGAGGCCUUACUUCUGCAUAUUUGAAUCUGGUGACCAAAUUAAACAUUGUUCUAACUGUAGUGGUCUGAUCAUUCUACCAAGGCCAUGACUGUGAAGAGCACUGUGGGUGAUGGCUGGUGGCUCACCGGAGCCGGCUUGUGCACGGCGCCCGAAGCCAAAGCUGCAGUUACCAUCCUCAAAUACAAAAGUAAUUGAUACUCAGCAAUGAAAGCUGCAUGUGCAUGUAGGGGAGAGAAGGAGGUUUCACCAGACUGACAAAUGGAGUCAUGGUUCUGGGAAGGAGCAGGGUGUUGGGUGCACAUUUGUCACCUGGGAAUACUACCAGCAAGCCUCAUAUUUUUUCUGCAAUAAAUGCUGGAAAGGAAAAAGAAAUGCUGAAAAUGAUGAAGUAAUUCCAAUUCUGCUGAUAGAGACCUGGAAAUGCACUAGGGAAAAAUGACAAGAGUGUAACACACUGCUGCUGAUUAUGUCAUAAUGAUUAUUUUAUGCAGUUUGAAGAAGACUCACUGUUCUAAAGAACCAGCAUCCAUUUCCAGGAAAGAGCAGGGAUUCUCCAUCCAUACCUCCAUGGGAUGAACCACAUUGAAAAUAAUGAUUUCCUUCUAAUAGCUUACUCUACAUUAUAUAAAGAAUUCCUUGGGAUUCUAAAAAAACCCUAAUAAUAUAGUAAUAAUAACAACAGAGGUUUGUUUUUGCUAUUUGUAGUCUAAUAUUCAGAUUGUGAGCAGCUGUUUUGGAAGGCAAGAUGAGUGAAUAGAUGUGAAGUCGUCUUAGAAAUGUCCAGGCUUCCAAAAGAAAUUUCACUUUUAAAAGAAAAUAGCCUAAUGUGAACCACAUUAGAAUCAGCACAUCUAAUCCUACGGAGAAAAAGUGACCAUGGCUGUCUACACAUAUAGGCAGGUCAUUCAAGCUCAUUCAAAAAUUCCACUUUCACUGGUGGUCUGUCUGUGUCCACAUGGUGACAAAUGGCCCCGGCAGGGUUUUUGAGGUGUUGGCACCACCAGUGAGUGCCAGAUGGAAUGUGGUGAAAGUUCUGAUUUGUACCUUUCAGACUAAAGGUACUUUCCAGAAUGGACGGGUCCUUCUGGCUGCCUUUUGUAAGUGCAGCCACAGGUAUUCUGUUGAAGCCUGUGGGUGAGAAAGACAUAAACAGGUGCUAUAAAUUUGUCAGACCAGGAAGCCACAGGCCGUUUAGUAAAUGGUAAACCCAAUGGCCCAAAAGAACAAAGGGGUCUCUUUUCAUCAGAAUGAUCAGGCUCAUUCAACAAAUAUUUAUUGAGCACCCACUUUCUGCCAGAUGGAAGAGCCACUGACAAGGCCUCUUAUUUAAAGAGUGCCUGAAGUGAGGAAGCAAACCCCCAAAUCAUCUGGGAUGGUAUGAACUGAACUCUGGACCGCAACAUGAUGGAAAGGAGGAGCUGGGGUCCCAAGGGCAGUCCAGACAACCUGAACCUGUGACACUCACCCUGCCCACACACUCUCAGAGCUGCAGCUUUCACGGGGGUGACAUGAAUGCUUGUAAAUGAGCUUGCUGAAUGGGAGACCAAGAACGAUGAUAUUGAGCUGUUACUACAUGCCAGACAUUUAACCCUUUCAUCCAGGUUAUCUCAAUCAUUCCUUACAGAAAGGCUUUUGAGAUGUCCUUGCAACUGGAGGUGCCAUAUGAUACAGUUCUGCCCAAAGACAAGAAAGUGAAUGUCUGUUGAGGGCUUCCUAUAAGGCCAAUACAUACAGGUGUUCCCAACAACAGGUAAGUCAAUUCAGCUGGUUGGAUUUUUCACUUUUCAUCUGAAUGUUUACAUGUAUCUGAAUGUUUCCAUAGACAUAGACUGAGCGUGUGACUUGAGUCAAAGUUAAUUUGAGUAAGAAACCAAGGGAGAAUUUUAUUUCUUUUUAUUGAUGCCUCAGUCUCUUUCCAUUUUUUCAUAGAGACCCAGGAGUCCAUGUUAAAAGUGUCCUAAAGAGGAGGUAAAGGCUAAGGAAUUUGAGAACCCUAAGAUUUUCUUUGAAAUUCUGUGGAGAUGAUGCUAAGAGGAUCACUUAUAAAUGCUUAUUGGAUGUAAUUUCCAUGUUGGACAGGUGAUAUUUCCAGGGAGAAGCUUAAGGGAUUGUAGGUAAUAUAAAGUCUCAAGGUAGAAAACACUGACUCUGAGACUGUGUAUUUAUAAUGUGUGUGUGCAUGUGUAUGUGUAAUUCAUUUGCUGAUCUUUGUUUAACUUUUUAUUAAACUAUAAUGUAUGUGCAGAAAAAAAUGCACAUAUUAUAACAUAGAGCUUAAAGAAUUUUCACAAAUGACCAUAUCUUUGAACCCAAUACCCAGGUCACAAAACAGAACAUUACCAGAACCCUAAAAACCCUUGUUCUCCCUUCUAAUAACUACCUUUUUGGCCAACAAUAACUACCAGGCUUCCAUUCUUACCUUUUUACAAAACAAACCAAUGAGUGGAAGCGCAAGGUCACCCCUUCUCCUGUUUUCACUUGCUCGCGAUUGACAUGGGGAAGUAAAACCUGUACUAUGGCACAUUUAAUUAUGGGAAAAUGAAAAGAAAGAAAUAAAAACCAGACCAACAAAGCAAAGAUUUAAGUUGGCAUCGCUUUCCAUAUCAUUGUGAUGCCGGCAGACACUCAAUAAACAUAUCAGCAUUGUUAAAAUGAUUUAUCAGCCAAAUAGUUGAAUGUAAAAUAUUAUCAAUACAGGUGUCAUCAUUGAUCUUUCUUGGGUCUCACUGCUGAAGAAUGGGGCUGUAAGAUGAUUUCAACAAACAAUCCUUGACAGGAAACCAAAGGCAACAAGGCACAGGGACAGACAGCUGACAAAUGCAGUAUGGGGCCAUUAAAGCAUGUGAUGAAUUUGCCAGGAAAGUAUAUAUUUGUGCAAGAGGUGAGCUCAUAUCUCCCAUAAAUUUGUCAGCCGUGACACAGUGUUCUCCGGCUUGGCAUGAGUAAUGCCUUGCUAUUUGCGCCUUUGUCUGGCAAAAGCUCUAUCAGUCACUCCAGGGUUAUUUACAAAGAAACGUGUCUAUCAGUUACAAGGACAUGACUUUGCUGCUAAAAGAUAACAAAAGAAGAAAUCAGGCAGUGGCCUCUCAGCGAGGGAUGCGUCUUUUCCAGACAAGCUCUGGACUGGAAUGAAUCAGAUGGACGGCAAUUGGCCGGGCUGGCCCAGUGCCUGGCAUGACCAGCCUUAGUGCAUUUAUCCACACUGAUUAGAUUAGAAAUUAUUAAUAGGGGGCUACGGAGUAGAGCAAAAGGUCAUUUAGAGUUUAAUUCUGUUCUCAGAUAACUUCAUUUCGGCUGAUGGGAUUGUUAUUGUAGGGGUUUUAUAUGUUUAUAGGAAACAAUAUACUCAAUAAUGAAGUCCUGCCUCCUUCUGCAAGGUCAGGAAAGCUAUUGUGUAGCUAGAUUGAAGUCUUCACAAUUGUGUUAAUUAAGUAACAGUGAUUGGACUUGGUCUUCUCUUGAAAUGCAUUUAAGAGCCUAAAAGCUGCUGAGAAUGUAUUCUUUCAAUAUAAAUAUAUAGUAAAGCAAGUGAGACCAGAAAGCAGCUGACGAUUGAGUAAACAGAAGAGCUGACAUGAAGCUUUUACUUAAGACAGGAGCCUGGUUGGCAGAUGUAACUUCUUGCCACAUAAAUACAAAUGUCUUGUCAGUUUAUGAUUAAACAUAACAGGUCCCUUUUUCUUACUCAAUUCCUGAUGAAUCUGAAAGAUAAAGCUGUAGAAAGUAUAGUUGAUGGUCUCAUCAGUUACUUUGUUGCCUUGCAGGCCUGCCCAUUUGAGGCAGAUGAUCAGAGUACGGUAAGAGGCAUGUCCUUCUCAGAUUAAAGGGCCAUAGCCUUGGUCUUGGCUCAUAGUCCAGGGUCAUUCUGGAGAGGGAACCCAGCUUUGUCCCCUCCUUUGGAGGGCUUAUAACUCAGAUAUUAACAUUUGCUGAAGAUGGUUGUAAUUUUUUUUGUUCUGAGGUACAAGAUCUCUUCUAAAUAGCUAAAAAAGAAUUUAGUUGAUUCUAAGUGAAAAGUGAGUUCAUGGAAAGCACUUUGUUGCCAUGUGUUUCUUAAAGACCACAGAAGACUUUUGGGCUCCAGUUAAGCAAGUCCCCUUCGAUUUGGCUCCAGAUGCAGUGAUACCCCACGAAGGGGAAGUUUAAAGUGAAACUUGGCAACUGGUGAUUGAGUCUUAUCUUCCCAACUCUCCUCCAACGCCCCCACCCACACAUAUAAGAGAACCACCAUCCAAAGACAGAACUUAGGAGAGUUGUUGAAUUGAAAUGAUAGUUUCAUUGAUGUAAGUUUUGUAAAAUACCUUUAAGGCAGAGAUUCUCAAAUGGAAGUGAUUUUGUCCCCCAAGGGACAUUUGACAAUGUCUGGAGACAUUGGGGUUGUAACAACUAGGAGUGGAUGAUUGCUACCGGCAUCUAGUGAGUGGAGCCAGAGAUGCUGGUAAACAUUCUGAAAUACCUGCCCCCUACAUAGAACAAACAGUCAUCCAGGCCAAAAUGUCAAUAGUGUGAAGGUUGAGGAACCCUGCUCUCAAGAACCUUUGAAUCAAUGAAGGAUGAGGAGUUGGGAGAGGUUACUCUCUCUAGGGAAUGGGUUACCAUACAGAAUUUCUACUUAGAAAAAAAAUCUAUAAUUAUGACAUUAUAAAUAAUCAUACUAGAAUUUGGAAAAAUUUCUUAUAAAAUGUGCUUGGCCAGGCACGGUGGCUCACACCGGUAAUUCCAGCACUUUGGGAGGCUGAGGCAGGCAGAUCACGAGGUCAGAUCGAGACCAUCCUGGCUAACAUGGUGAAACCCCAUCUCUACUAAAAAUACAAAAAA
rnacentral:lncRNA from 1 species